rnacentral:rRNA from 1 species
CGACCGCUGGCGGCGUGCUUAACACAUGCACGUCGAACGGAAAGGCCCUGCUUUUGUGGGGUGCUCGAGUGGCGAACGGGUGAGUAACACGUGAGUAACCUGCCCUUGACUUUGGGAUAACUUCAGGAAACUGGGGCUAAUACCGGAUAGGAGCUCCUGCUGCAUGGUGGGGGUUGGAAAGUCUCGGCGGUUGGGGAUGGACUCGCGGCUUAUCAGCUUGUUGGUGGGGUAGUGGCUUACCAAGGCUUUGACGGGUAGCCGGCCUGAGAGGGUGACCGGCCACAUUGGGACUGAGAUACGGCCCAGACUCCUACGGGAGGCAGCAGUGGGGAAUAUUGCACAAUGGGCGGAAGCCUGAUGCAGCAACGCCGCGUGCGGGAUGACGGCCUUCGGGUUGUAAACCGCUUUCGCCUGUGACGAAGCGUGAGUGACGGUAAUGGGUAAAGAAGCACCGGCUAACUACGUG